AACGAACGCUGGCGGCGUGCCUAACACAUGCAAGUCGUGCGAGAAAGUUCCUUCGGGAGCGAGUAAAGCGGCGCACGGGUGAGUAACACGUAGGUAACCUGCCCCCCAGUCUGGAACAACUAGAGGAAACUCUAGCUAAUGCCGGAUGAGACCACGAUCCCUUCGGGGGUUGCGGCCAAAGAUGGCCUCUACUUGUAAGCUACCGCUGAGGGAUGGGCCUGCGGGCCAUUAGCUUGUUGGUGAGGUAACGGCUCACCAAGGCUGUGAUGGCUAGCUGGUCUGAGAGGAUGACCAGCCACACUGGGACUGAGACACGGCCCAGACUCCUACGGGAGGCAGCAGUGGGGAAUAUUGCGCAAUGGGCGAAAGCCUGACGCAGCGACGCCGCGUGGGUGAUGAAGGCCU
rnacentral:rRNA from 1 species